rnacentral:rRNA from 1 species
CUGCUGCCUCCCGUAGGAGUUUGGGCCGUGUCUCAGUCCCAAUGUGGCCGUUCACCCUCUCAGGCCGGCUACUGAUCGUUGUCUUGGUAGGCCAUUACCCCACCAACUAGCUAAUCAGACGCGGAACCAUCGUAUACCACCAGAGUUUUUCACACCGCUUCAUGCGAAGCUGUGCGCUUAUGCGGUAUUAGCACCUAUUUCUAAGUGUUAUCCCCCAGUAUACGGCAGGUUUUCCACGCGUUACUCACCCGUCCGCCA